rnacentral:misc_RNA from 1 species
GUUUAGUUAUCCCCUGCCAAGAAGGCAAGACAACCACGAGAAUGAAGACUUCAGCAUCUCCUCGUUUUCCUUCUUUCUUCACUGUUGCCUUCUUUCUGCUCUUUUCUUUGUCAUUUUCUGAGACCCGGAACUUUCUUCCUAGAGGCUCCUCUCUAUCUGUAGAAGACGAUUCAGACAUCCUCACCUCACUAGAUCAAACUUUCACUUGUGGGUUCUAUGGGAUGGGAGAUAAUGCUUGUUGGUUCUCUAUUUGGUUCACGAAUUCUAAGGAGAGGACUGUUGUAUGGAUGGCUAACAGAGACAGACCUGUAAAUGGUCAGGGAUCAAGAAUUUCUUUGCGGCCCGAUGGUGCCAUGGUUCUAACUGAUGUUGAUGACUCCACCAUAUGGGAGACCAACACCACCUCCACUGAUGUUAGUAGAGCAGAGCUUUUGGAUACUGGGAACCUUGUUCUGAAAGAUACUCGUGGUAAAAUUCUGUGGCAAAGCUUUGAU